rnacentral:misc_RNA from 1 species
UGCUGAUAGAGUUAUUGUAUAUGAGGGGAAGCCGUCUUUGGAUUGCACAGCAAAUUCUCCUCAGUCAUUGUUGACAGGAAUGAAUCUCUUCUUAUCUCAUCUGGAUAUCACAUUUAGGCGUGACCCAACUAAUUAUCGACCGAGAAUCAACAAACUGGACUCAACCAAGGACAGAGAGCAGAAGUCUGCAGGGUCAUAUUAUUACCUGGAUGAUUGAUGUAAUUAUUGACUGGUUCACAUAGUUUUCAUGCUGGCCAAACUCUAUUUCAGAUAUGCAGAAUUUGAGCGCAUCAUUCCGAGUAAUGUUGAAACUUGGCCAAGUUAUUCUAAUAGUUGGCAAAUGACUGGAUGUCUCCUGGCUGGCAAAGAACUAAAGUUUAUUUUUCUCUAAUUGAGCUGCAGGCUGUAUAUGAUGUUACUCGGUUGUGUUCUCUCUUAUAGUGUUUUU